AUGGAGAGUUUUCAUGACUACAAGAUGGUGAAUAACCGUUCUGUGGUUGAACAAGCUCAUGAGAUACAGUGCAUUGUGAAGGAAUUUGAACUCCUUAAAUGUGUUCUACCCGACAAAUUCGUGGCUGGGUGCAUGAUUGCAAAGUUGCCUCUUUCAUGGAGGAAUUUCGCCACAACUCUGAAGCAUAAGAGGCAGGAGAUAUCAGUUGAAAAUAUGAUUGCAUCUCUUGAUGUUGAAGAAAAAGCUCGGGCUAAAGAUACCACUGAAAAAGGAGUAUUUCAAUCAUCUUCGUGGUGGAUUGAUUCGGGUGCUAACGUUCAUGUGUGUGCUGACAUCUCCCUGUUUACUUCUUAUCAGGUCGCAAGGGAUUCUUCCGUCCUAAUGGGGAAUGGGUCACAUGCUUCUGUUCGUGGCAUUGGCACGGUGGAUCUGAAGUUUACUUCGGGAAAGAUCGUGCAACUAAGGAACGUGCAACAUGUCCCUACUAUGAACAAGAAUCUAGUUAGCGGCUCCCUUCUAUGUCGAGAUGGAUUUAAGGUAGUUUUAGAGUCCAAUAAAGUAAUCGUGUCAAGAUUUGGACAAUUUAUAGGAAAAGGCUAUGAGUGCGGAGGCUUGUUCCGCUUUUCUCUUUCAGAUUUUUGCAAUAAGUCAAUAAACCAAAUUUGUGCUAAUGUUAAUGAUGAUGCAAGUAUUUGGCACUCUCGUUUAUGUCAUAUUAAUUUUGGUUUAAUGUCUCGGCUAUCCAGCAUGAGUUUAAUUCCGAACUUCACAGUUGCCAAAGGUUCUAAGUGCCAUAGUUGUGUGCAAUCUAAGCAACCUCGAAAGCCUCAUAAGGCUGCCGAGGAGAGAAACUUGGCACCUCUAGAACUCAUACAUUCUGAUCUUUGUGAGAUGAAUGGUGUGUUGACAAAAGGUGGAAAGAGAUAUUUCAUGACUUUGAUUGAUGAUGCGACUAGAUUUUGCUAUGUUUAUUUGUUGCAAACUAAAGAUGAAGCAUUAGACUACUUUAAAAUCUAUAAAACUGAAGUUGAAAAUCAACUAGAGAGAAAGAUCAAGCGUCUUAGGUCCGAUCGUGGUGGAGAGUAUUUUCCAAAAGUUUUUGAUGAAUUUUGUGAGGAACAUGGUAUUAUUCAUGAGAGGACUCCUCCCUAUUCACCUCAAUCAAAUGGAGUGGCCGAGAGGAAAAACCGCACAUUGACUGACUUGGUGAAUGCCAUGUUAGACACUGCUGGUUUAUCUAAGGCAUGGUGGGGGGAGGCUCUAUUGACUUCAUGUCAUGUCCUGAAUAGAGUUCCCAACAAUAAUAAAGAGAAAACCCCUUAUGAGGAGUGGGUUGGGAGAAAACCAUAA
rnacentral:rRNA from 1 species